rnacentral:lncRNA from 1 species
CUGCUGAAUAAAGAGCAGGCCUGAAAGAAUUACACUGGUGGAGACUUUGAUGUACGAAUAGGCAGAAGAGCAGAAGAGGAGAACACAUAACUCAGCCCCAGAUUGCACCCUCAAGAAAUCACGUUGAGAUUCCCAACAGGUCAAGACAGAGAUGGAGACUUUUUAAUGAUGUAUCUGGCUGGAAUCACAGAUGUCAGCAUUACUGUGAGCCAAACCAGUGUUCCUCCUUGCUGUCCACCACUCAAAUCUUUCAGUACCUCCAAGAGAGAGAGACACAAAAUCUGCUGCAGUUUUGGAGCCACCAGUCUCUCAGACAGAUUUUGCAGAUGCACCUGGUUCUUCACCAUGACAAUUGGCUAACAUCAGAUGUCCUGACAAAGCAAGCAAAAAUGCAAUGUACAAAGCAGACUCGAGAACUCCAGCUUUGGAACUCUCCAGCUGCUGUGCGCUUUUCAGAGUUGAAGGCUGCAUGGGAAAACACACAAGCAAAUUCAGACAAAGCACUCCCCUACCUGGAAUUUGUUUCUAUUAAGCAGACAAACUGUUGCUGUGGAAAUUAAAAAAGGGGAAGGAUUAAUUCUUUUUAGUUACCUGAUAAAAGUCAAUCAAGUAUUCUUUGAAAAUAAUGCCACAGUUCAUUUUUUUUAGUUCCUCCCUCAUUAUCCUGUAACUCUGACCAUUGAACUUUAGUGCUGUAGAUCAGGCUAAAACACCACUGACAAC